CAAGAAAAGGCUUUUCAAAACUCUUAGAAUGUAUUCCAAGAGCAGUGCACAUAUUCAGAAGCUAAUUAUGUAAUUUCUUAUAUGUUGCUUUGAGGCAAAUUGAACAGGGAUUUGUUUGGCUUCCAAAUGGUUUGUUGGUCCUAAAAUAGUCAGAAUCACAUGACAUCUGUGCUAUAGAUAUGGACCUCGGUGGUUUUCUCCACAUUAGGAAAGCUGGAAGAGCCUUUUGAACUCAGUUUUUUUGCUAACAGUGGUGUUAUGGUGAAACAGAGUUUUGUGUGUAUGUACCAACAGCUAAAAUGUAAACACGACAUUAUCAUAGUUGAGUACAGGAAUAAUUAUCUCUUAUAUCUUAUUGCAAAA